GACGAACGCUGGCGGCGUGCCUAAUACAUGCAAGUCGAACGCAGUGGCGGACGGGUGAGUAACACGUGGGUAACUACCCAUCAGAGGGGGAUAACACUUGGAAACAGGUGCUAAUACUGGAUAGUGGGGGAUGACUCGCGUCCUAUCAGCUUGUUGGUGGGGUAGUGGCCUACCAAGGGGACGACCGGUAGCCGGCCUUAGGGGGCAACCGGCCACAUUGGGCUGAGAUGCGGCCCAAACUGCUACGGGGGGCAGCAGAGGGGAAUAUUGCACAAUGGGGGAAACUCGGAUGCAGCAACGCCGCGUGCGGGAUGACGGCCUUCGGGUUGUAAACCGCUUUCAGCCAUGACGCGGUAGUGGCAGAAGAAGCACCGGCUAACUACGUGCCAGCAGCCGCGGUAAUAC
rnacentral:rRNA from 1 species